rnacentral:rRNA from 1 species
CCUACGGGAGGCAGCAGUGGGGAAUAUUGGACAAUGGGCGAAAGCCUGAUCCAGCCAUGCCGCGUGUGUGAAGAAGGCCUUCGGGUUGUAAAGCACUUUCAGUGGGGAAGAAAGCCUUGGGGCUAAUACCCUCGAGGAAGGACAUCACCCACAGAAGAAGCACCGGCUAACUCCGUGCCAGCAGCCGCGGUAAUACGGAGGGUGCGAGCGUUAAUCGGAAUUACUGGGCGUAAAGCGCGCGUAGGCGGUCUGAUAAGCCGGUUGUGAAAGCCCCGGGCUCAACCUGGGAACGGCAUCCGGAACUGUCAGGCUAGAGUGCAGGAGAGGAAGGUAGAAUUCCCGGUGUAGCGGUGAAAUGCGUAGAGAUCGGGAGGAAUACCAGUGGCGAAGGCGGCCUUCUGGACUGACACUGACGCUGGGGUGCGAAAGCGUGGGUAGCAAACAGGAUUAGAUACCCGGGUAGUC